rnacentral:rRNA from 1 species
GAUGAACGCUAGCGACAGGCCUAACACAUGCAAGUCGAGGGGCAGCGGGGGCGAAGCUUGCUUUGCCUGCCGGCGACCGGCGCACGGGUGAGUAACACGUAUGGAACCUGCCCGCCACAGGGGGAUAACCGGUAGAAAUGCCGACUAAUACCCCGUAUGCCCACAGGGGCGCAUGCCCUGGGUGGGGAAACUAUUUUAUGGGUGCGGAUGGCCAUGCGGCGCAUUAGCUAGUUGGCGGGGUAACGCCCACC